UUCGACUCCUACCGCUCGAUGAUCUUGGAUAUGACCGAAUGGGACUUCUGCUUCUGCUUCUGCUUCUGUAUCGAUACCUGACUGGAGAGAGACUUCGACUUCUGCUGCGACCACGUCUACUGCGUUGUGCUAUGCGGCGAGUCUCAGCAAGCUUCUCUUGUCUUUCCCUUUCCUGCUCUCUCCUCUUGCCUGCCUCUGAAACUAUAUCCUUCUUAAUUUGCUUGCUUAGCUGCUUAUUCAUGAUUCGUUUCAGACGCUCUUGAGGAGUUUCUUGAGACUUUUCAUUUGAUUGAGAGGUUUUCUGCGUAGCUGACCCAGGAGUCGCGACCUUACUCAACUUUGAAAGUGCAGAGGAAGAACACACACCAGAGGCCUUCCAUUCCCGUUCUCUUUGCCGCGCAUCCCAGUCAGUAGCAGAUAGUCCCGAGACCGAUGGCGUAACAGCAAUUGCUGCUGGGUCACUGUGUAAAGCUUCGAG
rnacentral:lncRNA from 1 species